GUGCUUGCUUCCGAAGCACAUAUACUAAAAUUGGAAUGAUACAGAGAAGAUUAUCACAGUUCCUGUGUAAGGAUGAUACUUAAAUCCACGAAGCACUCCAUAUAUAU
rnacentral:snRNA from 1 species